GACGAACGCUGGCGGCGUGCCUAAUACAUGCAAGUAGAACGCACAGUUUAUACCGUAGCUUGCUACACCAUAGACUGUGAGUUGCGAACGGGUGAGUAACGCGUAGGUAACCUGCCUGGUAGCGGGGGAUAACUAUUGGAAACGAUAGCUAAUACCGCAUAAUAUUAAUUAUUCCAUGAUAAUUAAUUGAAAGGUGCAAUUGCACCACUACCAGAUGGACCUGCGUUGUAUUAGCUAGUAGGUGAGGUAACGGCUCACCUAGGCGACGAUACAUAGCCGACCUGAGAGGGUGAUCGGCCACACUGGGACUGAGACACGGCCCAGACUCCUACGGGAGGCAGCAGUAGGGAAUCUUCGGCAAUGGACGAAAGUCUGACCGAGCAACGCCGCGUGAGUGAAGAAGGUUUUCGGAUCGUAAAGCUCUGUUGUAAGAGAAGAACGGGUGUGAGAGUGGAAAGUUCACACUGUGACGGUAUCUUACCAGAAAGGGACGGCUAACUACGUG
rnacentral:rRNA from 1 species